rnacentral:rRNA from 1 species
GACGAACGCUGGCGGCGUGCUUAACACAUGCAAGUCGAAUGAUGAAGCCGGAGCUUGCUCUGGUGAAUUAGUGGCGAACGGGUGAGUAACACGUGAGUAACCUGCCCUUGACUCUGGGAUAACUGCGGGAAACUGUAGCUAAUACCGGAUACGACCCUCGGAGGCAUCUCCUGGGGGUGGAAAGAAUUUCGGUCAAGGAUGGACUCGCGGCCUAUCAGCUAGUUGGUGAGGUAAAGGCUCACCAAGGCGACGACGGGUAGCCGGCCUGAGAGGGUGACCGGCCACACUGGGACUGAGACACGGCCCAGACUCCUACGGGAGGCAGCAGUGGGGAAUAUUGCACAAUGGGCGCAAGCCUGAUGCAGCUACGCCGCGUGAGGGAUGACGGCCUUCGGGUUGUAAACUCCUUUUGACCGGGAAGCCCGCAAGGGAUACAGUACCGGUAGAAUAAGCAUCUACUAACUACGUGCCAGCCGCCGCAGUAA